UAAAGUGCUGACAGCUCAGAUA
rnacentral:miRNA from 1 species